UCAAUUUUAUGGUGAGAUUUUACAUCAUUUUUGUUGACAUUUUAAUAAGAAACAUAUUAACUAUAAGAGGUUGUAUGAGAGAUCUCCCGAAUGCAUUCCUGCUAUCAAACUUAAAUUGUAUAUGCUUUGAUCAAUAUCUCCCCAAUACCCUUUUCCCCAACCAUACCAUUGUAUUCUAUUUGUAUGAGAUGAACUUUUUGAGAUUUCUAUUGUUUUAAGAUACUAUGUUUUGAGGGAACUUAUUUCAGAGAAAUAGUCAACAAAUAGAAUAUCCAAAAUUUGUCAGGCUGUGUUCUAGAUGCUUCCCAUAUACUACUUUGUUUAAAAUUUUGAGUGUUUUGACAUCCUGAUGAAGUACUAUCCAUAUAUAUUUAAAUUUCAACAGUACAUUUUCCAAAGAGAUAAAUGAACCAUGAAUGUUAUUUCACUAGCUAAAGUCACACAGUUAUGAAGAAAUGAAGCCAGGAUUCAAACUUAGGUUGGGCAGCCCGAGUUAGAUAGUCUAUGUACAAAAGAAUUUUCAUCAAAGGAGUCUUGUCUGUAAGAGAUUUUUCUAUCUCCAAAUUGUCAAGACUGCAUGCUGAGAAAGUGAACCAAAAAUAAACCAUGCUGUAAAAUAUAGAACUUUUCAAAAUAUGUUAUAACAAGAAAUUUCUUUUUAAUCUUUCCCUCUCCGUCCAUCCCACUGACAUAUACAAAACACCCUAAUACAAAUACUUAAAGUAAUGAAAUACCAACUUCUGUGUGAAGACUCAAAGUGUGCCAGGAAAAACAUGUGCCUGCUGCCGUGGAUGGUAUUAGUUCCCAGACCUUCAGGACACCUCCUGCUAAUUUAUUUUCAUCACCAGCAGUUUGAAUCAUAUCGUGUCCCUCUUGUUUUCAUCAUUCAGCACCACUUACAAAAAGUAAGAGAUAAAAAUAAAAGCCCUCAUUCCUAAGAUUUGAGCCAUAUGGUGGGAUUGAGCUGAUUGCAUGACAUUGGACGGCAGGAGACCUAAACUUGGACUUGGUUCUACCUCUAGAAGCUACAGCUACAUGUCUGGUGCCAAAGCACGUAUAGGAGAUAAAAAGAGAAGCCCUACCAAUUCCUGCAAGAGUUCACCGUCUGGAAAAUGUUCAUGGAGCCAAUAAAUAAUUCAGUAGUUUUCCAUGGACACGUUAAUGAAAACUUGCAUUUUAUUAUACCUGCAGUGGAUAUCGGCUUGCUGUUUUACUUAAAAGUAAGUCUGACUGUAACUAAUAGAAAAAAUGAAAUGAUAAUGGCUUUAACAAUAUAGAAGUUUAUUCUUUG